rnacentral:rRNA from 1 species
UACGAAGGGGGCUAGCGUUGCUCGGAAUCACUGGGCGUAAAGGGUGCGUAGGCGGGUCUUUAAGUCAGGGGUGAAAUCCUGGAGCUCAACUCCAGAACUGCCUUUGAUACUGAAGAUCUUGAGUUCGGGAGAGGUGAGUGGAACUGCGAGUGUAGAGGUGAAAUUCGUAGAUAUUCGCAAGAACACCAGUGGCGAAGGCGGCUCACUGGCCCGAUACUGACGCUGAUGCACGAAAGCGUGGGGAGUAAACAGG